rnacentral:rRNA from 1 species
UACAUAGGGUGCGAGCGUUAAUCGGAAUACUGGGCGUAAAGCGUGCGCAGGCGGUGAUGUAAGACAGGUGUGAAAUCCCCGGGCUUAACCUGGGAACUGCAUUUGUGACUGCAUCGCUGGAGUACGGCAGAGGGGGAUGGAAUUCCGCGUGUAGCAGUGAAAUGCGUAGAUAUGCGGAGGAACACCGAUGGCGAAGGCAAUCCCCCUGGGCCUGUACUGACGCUCAUGCACGAAAGCGUGGGGAGC